ACUUGGAACAAAUCAAUGUUUUCUACCUUCUCUUCCGACAACAAAGGGCGUUGUCAAGAAAAAUCAAAACUACGACGAUCCUCCACCACAAAUCUGUCUUAUCCGCUCGUACCACAGCAAACUAGAAUUUGCCUCUAAGCCUGCUUCACUGAAUUCUAUUGCAGAUUGAAGGUAUGCUCCCAUAGAUUCAGUUAAUAAAGCGGAGAAUGUAUUGCUGCCUAGAGUGUAUGCUUUAAGAUUUAAGACGAGAUUCAACUGCCUAGGUGUGAAAGAAUCAAGCAUUCUGUAAUCAAUUGGUUCAAAUUAUACAAGGUAAUUUUCUAAAGAUAGGCCUUGAAGGAAUGGGAGGUUCGAAGUAUAAAUCGUUACACAAUUUAUCUACCUAGAUUAGAAACAAAACGAAUUUUUUGUACAAUUUCAACUAUGUAGAAAUGCUCAAGCCCAAGCGCCUCCCGUGGUAUGGAACAAGCAGAAAACCUGGGCGGCUUGUAAGAAAAGCAUCAUCCCUGCAUAUAAAAAUGGUAUAACCAGCCACAGUUUUGAACUGUGUUUUUCCCAAAACUCGGCUAAAAGAACUCUCCAUUUGCUUCUGUAGUACUUCUGUGCUUCGUCUAUGGCUUUCUCUACAGGGUCAAAUGUAUUUUUCCCGAUUGAUUUACACAUACAGUUCCACAUCCGAGCCACCUCAGCAUCGCUAUCCAUUUGACAAUUAAGAAUGCCACACCUCUGGAGCAGAGCAACAUCCCCCUCCGUACGAAUCAGUCGGCCCAUUAAAAAUGUGUAGCGUGUGAGAGGCUUUUGCUUCUCUUUCAGAUUGAGUUCAAAUGCCACUAAGUUUCUUAGCACAACCUCUGUAAAAUCAUUAAUAUUGAUUUUAGAUGGAAUGUAUCCAGCUGUUGUAGUAGAUACCAUCUUGCUGAGCUUAAUAACGCAGCCUUGUUGAAGAGGAUUAGACUGAUGUUGAGGUGAAGCUGUAGUAACAUAAUGAUAGAGAUAGUCCAGAAGAUGUCCUGUGCUGUUCCUGUCUGGUGGCUGUGGAAGAUAAUUCUCCUCACGGAUAAAAGGAUUGAAAUGCAAGCAAGCAUCCUGUAAUCAAGGGUUCAAACUAUUUAAGCGUACAAGAUAGUAAACAACGUGAGCCAAAACAUAAAGGAACUUCCUCUUGUUCUUCAUCAGCUGUACAUUUACAAGGGAAAGCUGCCAUUCAACAACACCAGCUGUUCAUUCGUGUUUUUCCUCCAGCCUGCAAACGGUACCUUAUACAGCAACUACUUCUCAGAAUACAAUUCAAACAAAUGGGAUUGCAAGGAGAAGAAUAAUCCUAGAGAUGCCUGCAGGUCUCUCCUUCGAGCAGGAAUGGGUGCCGACAUAAAUUGUUAUAAACCUCACACUUUAUCAGAUAGUUUAUAUCAAAAGCUUUUACCAAGAGUCUCAUUAAAUUGGGGAAGAAUGCUUUGUAGGAGUUUACAGGGAUGCUUGCAAGGAAAAGAUUCAGCUAGAAAGGAAACAGAACAUAAAAAUGUUAAACAAAAAUAUGUGUGGAGAAUGAAAUUGAGCUCCUGUUGGACAUAAAAAUAAACAAACUGCAUGCUUGGUGUACAGAAUCUAACAUACCCUAAUUGGUCUACAUUUGUAUAGAUGGAUUCUCUCUGAAUGACUGUUUGAAGGGUAAAUUGAAGAUUCUGAAACUAUUUUAUUGA